CCCUUGAGGCGUGGCUUCCGGAGCUAACGCGUUAAAUCGACCGCCUGGGGAGUACGGCCGCAAGGUUAAAACUCAAAUGAAUUGACGGGGGCCCGCACAAGCGGUGGAGCAUGUGGUUUAAUUCGAUGCAACGCGAAGAACCUUACCUACUCUUGACAUCCAGAGAACUUAGCAGAGAUGCUUUGGUGCCUUCGGGAACUCUGAGACAGGUGCUGCAUGGCUGUCGUCAGCUCGUGUUGUGAAAUGUUGGGUUAAGUCCCGCAACGAGCGCAACCCUUAUCCUUUGUUGCCAGCGGUUCGGCCGGGAACUCAAAGGAGACUGCCAGUGAUAAACUGGAGGAAGGUGGGGAUGACGUCAAGUCAUCAUGGCCCUUACGAGUAGGGCUACACACGUGCUACAAUGGCAUAUACAAAGAGAAGCGACCUCGCGAGAGCAAGCGGACCUCAUAAAGUAUGUCGUAGUCCGGAUUGGAGUCUGCAACUCGACUCCAUGAAGUCGGAAUCGCUAGUAAUCGUAGAUCAGAAUGCUACGGUGAAUACGUUCCCGGGCCUUGUACACACCGCCCGUCACACCAUGGGAGUGGGUUGCAAAAGAAGUAGGUAGCUUAACCUUCGGGAGGGCGCUUACCACUUUGUGAUUCAUGACUGGGGUGAAGUCGUAACAAGGUAACC
rnacentral:rRNA from 1 species